GUGCGAUCACUGAAAGCAAAGGAUGGAUCCUUAAUGCUCAUAAGUCACAUUAGCAUCCUGAUGGACACCUGGACCAGUGCGAAAAUUCUCACCUGCGAAGUUAAAUUCAACUCUUCUGGCAAGAGUGUUAAAAAAAGUGCCAGGUUCUUGGAACUUCAUCUCAGCUGGUGUGUGCCGCAGCUAUUGCACCUAGGGGUGGCAGUUUUCCUGGUGGGGUUGAUGGUGUGUCUGAAUGUGGCCUGGAUUUGCUGCUGUUCCAAUCCAGGGUCAAAGCCCAAGUGAAGUUUGAGUCAAGGAGUCCAACCAGAUCAGGAUGCGGUGGCUGGUGGAAGAGAAAAAUCAUAAUCCACACGGAGAUCUGGCAACUCAGAGCUGUUUCACUGCUGACCUCAAUGCAGCAGCCCCUUUUGGGGUUGCCUGCUUGGGCUUGCUGUCUGAACAGAAGUGUGCAAUCUGGGUGUCGUAGCAGUCAGUCUGGAGAGAGGCAGCAGCCUAU